CCUACGGGGGGCAGCAGUGGGGAAUAUUGGACAAUGGGCGAAAGCCUGAUCCAGCCAUGCCGCGUGUGUGAAGAAGGCCUUCGGGUUGUAAAGUACUUUCAGUGGGGAAGAAAGCCUUGGGGCUAAUACCCUCGAGGAAGGACAUCACCCACAGAAGAAGCACCGGCUAACUCCGUGCCAGCAGCCGCGGUAAUACGGAGGGUGCGAGCGUUAAUCGGAAUUACUGGGCGUAAAGCGCGCGUAGGCGGUCUGAUAAGCCGGUUGUGAAAGCCCCGGGCUCAACCUGGGAACGGCAUCCGGAACUGUCAGGCUAGAGUGCAGGAGAGGAAGGUAGAAUUCCCGGUGUAGCGGUGAAAUGCGUAGAGAUCGGGAGGAAUACCAGUGGCGAAGGCGGCCUUCUGGACUGACACUGACGCUGAGGUGCGAAAGCGUGGGUAGCAAACAGGAUUAGAUACCCGGGUAGUC
rnacentral:rRNA from 1 species